GACGAACGCUGGCGGCGUGCCUAAUACAUGCAAGUUGAGCGCUGAAGGUUGGUACUUGUACCAACUGGAUGAGCAGCGAACGGGUGAGUAACGCGUGGGGAAUCUGCCUUUGAGCGGGGGACAACAUUUGGAAACGAAUGCUAAUACCGCAUAAAAACUUUAAACACAAGUUUUAAGUUUGAAAGAUGCAAUUGCAUCACUCAAAGAUGAUCCCGCGUUGUAUUAGCUAGUUGGAGAGGUAAAGGCUCACCAAGGCGAUGAUACAUAGCCGACCUGAGAGGGUGAUAGGCCACAUUGGGACUGAGACACGGCACAAACGCCUACGGGAGGCAGCAGUAGGGAAUCUUCGGCCAUGGACGAAAGUCUGACCGAGCAACGCAGCGUGAGUGAAGAAGGUUUUCGGAUCGUAAAAAUCUGUUGGUAGAGAAGAACGUUGGUGAGAGUGGAAAGCUCAUCAAGUGACGGUAACUACCCAGAAAGGGACGGCUAGCUACGUG
rnacentral:rRNA from 1 species